UUACCUCUGCUGCAGAGGAUAAGUUCAUUAGAGUUACCAGCAUCUAAAAUUGCAGCCCAAACUAAUGCUUCACAGUGUUUAAGUAACAGACACAUCUCACCAUCAACUGUUCAUAGGAGACUGUGUGAAUCAGGCCUUCAUGGUCAAAUUGCUACAACGAAACCACUACUAAAGGACACCAAUAAGAAGAAGAGACUUGCUUGGGCCAAGAAACACGAGCAAUGGACAUUAGACCGGUGGAGAUCUGUCUUUUGGUCUAUAGUCCAAAUUGGCGAUUUUUGGUUCCAACCGCCAUGUCUUUGUGAGACGUGUGAUGACACAGUGUUGGUGAACGGAUGAUCUCCACAUGUGUAUUUCCCACCGUGAAGCAUGGAGGAGGAGGUGUGAUGGUGAUGGUGUGGAGGUGCUUUGCUGGUGGCACUGUCUGGGAUUUAUUUAGAAUUCAAGGCGAACUUAACCAGCAACCUCAGGAGGCUGAAAAAAUGUGACUUGUCACCGUAAACCCUCUAACUUUUACAGGUGCACAAUUGAGAGCAUCCUGUCGGGCUGUAUCACCGCCUGGUACGGCAACUGCACUGCCAUCAACCGCAGGGCUCUCCAGAGGGUUAUUGAGGUCUGCAUAGCGCAUCACUGGGGGCAAACUACCUGCUCUCCAGGACACCUACACCACCCGAUGUCAUAGGAAGGACAAAAAGAUAAUCAAGGACAACAACCACCUGAGCCACUGCCUGUUCACCCCGCUAUCAUCCAGAAGGCGAGGUCAGUACAGGUGCAUCAAAGUUGGGACCGAGAGACUGAAAUACAGCUUCUAUCUCAAGGCCAUCAGACUGUUAAACAGCCAUCACUAACACAGAGAGACUGAAAUACAGCUUCUAUCUCAAGGCCAUCAGACUGUUAAACAGCCAUCACUAACACAGAGAGGUAGCUGCCUACCUACAGACUUGAUAUCAUUGAUAUCAUUGGCCACUUUAAUAAAUGGAACACUACUCACUUUAAGAAUGAUCACAUAUCUCACAUUACUCAUCUCAUAUGUAUAUACUGUAUCCUACACUAUCCUUUAUUAUCUAUUGCAUCUUAGCCGCUCUGUCACUUCUCGUCCAUAUAUUUUAAACUUAUAUAUUCUCAUCCCAUUCCUUUACUAGAUUAGGUUUUGUUGUGGAAUUGUUAGAUAUUACCUGUUAGCUAUUGCUGCACUGUUGGGUCUACAAGCAUUUCACUACACUCACAAUAACAUCUGCUAACCAUGUGACCAAUAACAUCUGCUAACCAUGUGUAUGUGACCAUUAACAUCUGCUAACCAUGUGACCAAUAACAUCUGCUAACCAUGUGUAUGUGACCAAUAACAUCUGCUAACCAUGUGUAUGUGACCAAUAACAUCUGCUAACCAUGUGUAUGUGAC
ensembl:lncRNA